GAGAUUUCGUCACAUACCAGACCACAAGGGCUGAUGAGACUCCCAAGAUAAGUGAAGUG
rnacentral:pre_miRNA from 1 species